AGCACCUCGCCACCUUCUACGGACUACGCCAACAGGUGAGUAGCACCUUGCCACCUUCUACGGACUACGCCAACAGGUGAGUAGCACCUCGCCACCUUCUACGGACUACGCCAACAGGUGAGUAGCACCUCGCCACCUUCUACGGACUACGCCAACAGGUGAGUAGCACCUCGCCACCUUCUACGGACUACGCCAACAGGUGAGUAGCACCUCGCCACCUUCUACGGACUACGCCAACAGGUGAGUAGCACCUCGCCACCUUCUACGGACUACGCCAACAGGUGAGUAGCACCUCGCUCCGCCCAUGCCACCUUCUACGGACUACGCCAACAGGUGAGUAGCACCUCGCCACCUUCUACGGACUACGCCAACAGGUGAGUCGCACCUCGCCACCUUCUACGGACUACGCCAACAGGUGAGUAGCACCUCGCCACCUUCUACGGACUACGCCAACAGGUGAGUAGCACCUCGCCACCUUCUACGGACUACGCCAACAGGUGUGUAGCACCUCGCCACCUUCUACGUACUACGCCAACAGGUGAGUAGCACCUCGCCACCUACGGACUACGCCAACAGGUGAGUAGCACCUCGCCACCUUCUACGGACUACGCCAACAGGUGAGUAUCACCUCGCUCCCCCAUGCCACCUUCUACGGACUACGCCAACAGGUGAGUAGCACCUCGCCACCUUCUACGGACUACGCCAACAGGUGAGUCGCACCUCGCCACCUUCUACGGACUACGCCAACAGGUGAGUAGCACCUCGCCACCUUCUACGGACUACGCCAACAGGUGAGUAGCACCUCGCCACCUUCUACGGACUACGCCAACAGGUGAGUAGUACCUCGCCACCUUCUACAGACUACGCCAACAGGUGAGUCGCACCUCGCCACCUUCUACGGACUACGCCAACAGGUGAGUAGCACCUCGCCACCUUCUACGGACUACGCCAACAGGUGAGUAGCCCUCGCCACCUUCUACGGACUACGCCAACAGGUGAGUAGCCCCUCGCCACCUUCUACGGACUACGCCAACAGGUGAGUAGCACCUCGCCACCUACGGACUACGCCAACAGGUGAGUAGCACCUCGCCACCUACGGACUACGCCAACAGGUGAGUAGCACCUGGCUCCGCCCCUCGCCACCUUCUACGGUCUACGCCAACAGGUGAGUAGCAGAGCAGAUCUGGAACAGGGUGUGUCAGUUCAUGGUCUGUGUGUGUGGGUGGGGUCUGUGUGUGUCUGUGUUUCCAUUUAUAAAUCUAUGACAAGUAGGGCUGUCCCCGACAAAAAAAAAAAUCUUGGUCGACCCAGAAUCAUCUGUUCUUUUCAACCAAUCUGUUGAUCUAAAUGUUAAAACAUAUUUUUCCAUAUUUAGAAACAUCCUGUGUGUUUUAAUCAAAUCAACUACAUUCACUGAGCUGGUCUGAUGCUUUAAGCACACUGUUUGAUGAAAUAAUUCAGACACACUUCACUCGAGGGAUUCCGACCAGCAAUUGAUUUGAUUGCUGCUCUGUGUUUAAAAAAACAGCUAGUGACUGUGUGACUAGAACCCUCUGUCUCUCUCUCCUCCCUGCUGUCUCUCUCCUCCCAGCUGUCUCUCUCUCCUCCCUGCUGUCUCUCUCUCCUCCCU